rnacentral:tRNA from 1 species
AGGUGUAUGCCUGAUUAAAGGGUUAAUUUGAUAGAUUAAAUUAUGUAAUUAAUUUA